UAAGGCCCAUGAUUAAAAUAUUCUGGUUUGUGCGUGGGCGUUUGCGAAGAUGCUAAUAUAUGGAUAAAAUCUAAAUCGAAUCGGAUCUUGUCAAUUUUCGGGUCGACGAUGUGUGACAUGUGUUCCAUUACGCAAGCACCAGGCACCGGCGAUAGAAGCUUCAGGCUUCCAGCCCAAUGCUAGAAGAAACCGCUGCUUUUCCGCCGUUAAUUCAAAAGUGCCUUGCAGAGUCUUCCAAAACAUGGACAUGGAUAUCGACGAAACAGCCAAAGAUACGCCCCUUCUCAAAAACGCCGCGUUUUACCAUUCUCGGUCGUCGUCGCCUUCGGUGAUCAUAAAACCUGUCGUAGUAAUAUUGGUGGGUGCGCCUAGAAGCGGCAAGUCUACCUUCUGCGAACAUGUCAUGCGCUCCACUCGCCCUUGGGUUUGCGUUUGCCAGGAUACUAUCAAAAUUGGUAAAGCCGGAACGAAGGGGCAGUGUAUAGAUAGUGCAAUGAAUGCGUUGAAGGAUGGGUAGUGUGUGUUUAUAGAUAGUUGUAAUGUGGAGAAAGAAAAAAUGGGAUGAUUUUGUGAAGCUUGGUGGUAGUUCCCAAGUUGAUGUUCAUGCUGUGGUGCUUGAUCUUCCUGCCAAGCUUUGUAUAUUGCGGUAUGUGAAGCGAACGGGCCAUGAAGGAAACGUGCAAGGCGGGAAAGCUGUGGCGAUUGUGAAUAGAAUGCUGCAGAACAAAGAACUGCCUGAGCUGAGUGAAGGGUUUGCUAGAAUUACUUGUUGCCAGAGUGAGAGUGAUGAUCAAUCUUCCGUUGAUGCAUAUAGUGGACUUGGUCCGUUAGAUACACUGCCCAAUGGUUAUUUUGGUCAGAAGAACCCCGGUGCAAAAAUUCAACCAGGUAUAAUGAAGUUCUUAAAGAAAACAGAUGGUCCUGCCAAUACUGAAUCAACGUUGAAGAGUGUACCGGAUUCUAAUGCUUCUCAAAUUACUGAAGAAAAGGAAACCUCUUUGAAAGGAACAGUUUCACUUUCUGAAAAAUCUGGUAAGGAGUCAAAGGAAGGUGAAAAGCUAGUUGUAGGCUCUGUUGACGGUGAUGGUUCUCUAAACGAUGCUUCCACUCUGGCAUUUCCUUCCAUUUCAACAGCAGAUUUUCAAUUUGACCUUGCAAAGGCAUCUGAUAUUAUUGUUGAGAAAGUUAUAGAAUUUAGGAAUAAGCUUGGAAAUUCUAGACUUGUUUUAGUGGACUUGAGUUAUUAAUUGAAGAUUUUGUCUUUGGUAAGGGCUAAAGCUUCAGAGAAAAGCAUUGAUUCCAACAAGUUCUUCACAUUUGUGGGAGAUAUCACUCGGCUUCCUUCAUUCAGAAGGAGGUUUACACUGCAAUAUAAUAGCUAAUGCUACCAAUUGGUUAACAAUGGAGGCUUUGUUGCAUGCAUUUUGCUUAUUCCCUGAGCGUCAGAGAUUCCAAACCAGAAAUUUUCAGUGCAUUACUCAGGUUUAUGAUUUGAUUGACUCUAAUUCACUUUGAAGUAGUCUAGGCAUAUCUGCAAUCUACAUGUUACUCCUAUUUUAGUUUUUGACUAACGAAGGCCAUAUAUAGUCGAUCAUACAUACAUACCGUUAUAGGUGGAAGAAAAACAGAAUGGUUUGUGUAUGCUCAUGUUGAUUUUCUGGGUAGCAAGAGAAAUAUAUUCUCCGAAAAACUCAUGUAUUGUAUGUAAC